UGCAGGAACCUCAGGAUGUUUUGGGGUCCUCAGGAAAAGAAGAAGUAACCCAAAUUUAUAGGUAUUGCAAAGAUGUCUCAUUAAUUACCUGAUUGCUUGCACAGUAUAGACCUAAUUUUGAGAGCCCACCUGCAAGACUGCCUCCUGAAAUGAGACAACUGUUAAACUAACCUAUUUUCAAGACUAAGACCGGUUCAUAAGAUAUGGAGCAAAUUUCUCACCUAUGGUCCAGAACAGAACAGAAUGUUAACCUUAUCUUUUAGAGGUAAACAACAGGAAGAGCUCCAGCCAGCCUAAACCAGUUUGAGCUCAGCCACCCACUCACACCUGUGCAGAGAGAGCAUGGAGUGUCCAAUAGUCACCUCUACCUCAUAAUAAUGUUAAAAUCUCCACUCAAGGAGGAACAUAAACCUCAUUAACAUAACAUACAGUACAUGUAUAAGCAUGUUUCCUAAGUAAGCAUCAGUUGCUUUAUACACACCUCUACAUGUGAUGACAAAACUUCCUUUUCUGAGUAUUCAUCCUAUCCUUAAAUAAAAGAAACUCACUCACCCCCAUUUGGGGAGUCACCACUUUGAAGUUAUUCCCCUGUGAUCUCCUUAUU